rnacentral:rRNA from 1 species
CAGCACCUCAAGUGGACAGGAUGAUUAUUGGGCCUAAAGCAUCCGUAGCCGGCGCUGUAAGUUUUCGGUUAAAUCUGUACGCUCAACGUACAGGCUGCCGGGAAUACUGCAGCGCUAGGGAGUGGGAGAGGUAGACGGUACUCGGUAGGAAGGGGUAAAAUCCUUUGAUCUAUUGAUGACCACCUGUGGCGAAGGCGGUCUACCAGAACACGUCCGACGGUGAGGGAUGAAAGCUGGGGGAGCAAACCGGAUUAGAGACCCGAGUAGUCC